CCAAGGAGUCUAACAUGUGCGCGAGUCACUCGGUCUUGAAUAGGCCAGAGAGGCGCAAUGAAAGUAAUGUUGAUUGAGUUACGAUCCUUAUGCAGUUAUCCGUAUGGGUAACGGUAAGGCGCAGUAACAGCCCGCCAAUUUCGCUUAUUGACGAUAUGGCGGAGUUGUAGCGUACACGUUGGUACCCGAAAGAUGGUGAACUAUGCCUGGGCAGGACGAAGCCAGAGGAAACUCUGGUGGAGGUUCGUAGAAAUUUUGACGUGCAAAUCAAUUUUCAGACCUGGGUAUAGGGGCGAAAGACUAAUCCAACCAUC
rnacentral:rRNA from 1 species